rnacentral:miRNA from 1 species
UGUGGCUGUCUGCCUGUGUGUUUGUGUGUGGCUGUCUGCCCGACAGCCACACACAAACACACAGGCAGACAACCACACA